rnacentral:lncRNA from 1 species
CCAAGUCCUUGGUAAAGACCUAAGAAUCUUCCUCACGAGGUCACUGUUAGAAUAAGACUUACCAAGACUCUUUAAACCAUUAAUAAUAUCAGUAAAAUGAAUAAAUAUUUCAGUUAUUGACUCAUCAAGCUCUAUUUUAAAAAGUUCAUAUUUAUGCACAAGCAUGUUGAUUUUUGAUUCCUUCACUUGGUUAGUUCCU